UUUACAAAUCAACCUGGUUCAUACACUUAGAAAAGAAGAAAACAGAAGGGAAAAAGGGGAUAAACGGGGAAGAGGAGAAAUCGAGAGGGGAAGAUGGAGAGCUCGAGAGUCAGGGAGCAAGGGAAGGGGAGGAAGACGCCGCGAUGAUUAAGGAGGCUUCGACUUCUUCACCCUUAUGCAUUCGUCGCUGCCACUAUCAUCAACCGAAGCUGCUGCGCAUGGAGAGAAAGGGAGACCGCGCCCAGUCGUCACCAGCGCACUAGUGUCCUACUGCUGCCGCCAUCGCGCCUGGGUGUUGCCGUUAAGCUCGCAGCUACCGUCACCAUGGAGACUUCCACCAUCAUCUCUGAAGUCGCUCGUCGGUUAGGGCAGGCAGAGGGGGAAAUACGAACAACCAGGAAGAGGAGAAGAACACUGGUGGGUGUUUUCUUAACCAUUGCCGCCGAAAAAAGCUCUGCCACGGUUGUCUCCUCCGUCACUACCACGAUCGUCGUUCCGAUUCCCAUUCUCAAAACCGUGACUGCGUUAAAUUGCAUCUUAAACACGAUGUUCAGAUGAUUUUCUUUCUUUUUUGUUAUUUUAAGAAUAAACCCUUAAAUCAGUUCCUCAAUGAUUACUGUCUCUGCUGCAUUAAUGCUCUAAAUAUUUUUGUCACCAAACUAGUUUUUCAAGUUUGCAACAUAAUUACCAACUCAUAUUUUUUGUGCCACUACUUUAGGUUUUUUUUUUUCAAUUUAAAAAAUCUAGUCAUUUCAAGAAAUCUUGUGGUGCCCAUAAUCUCUGAUGCCUUCGUUCAUGAGAGAAAAAUAACACUUUAUGAUUUAGGGUCUUUGCUUGCUGCAAGUGUCUUCCAAUAUUUAUAUAUAUUAUCUUCCUCAGUAUUGAAAAUAUUUAUAAAUUAAACUAUCCUUUUGCCACAUUCUUAGGUUGUCCAAGAUGUCUAAUUGUUACUCUUUUAUAAUCUGUCAUGUUGAUUGCAAGGUAGUUCUGCAGACUGCAUGGAAUGUCGGUAGGGAUGAAAUUUAGGCAGGUGCUAAUCUAGUUCCUAUAAGUCAGAACUGCCCUUUCAACCUUGUGUCAUUCACUCAUCAAUUUUGGUCCAUGUUUUUUACAUCUCACUUUUCUUUGAUUCUGUUACUUGAUGAUACAAUUCUGUACCAAGACCAAUAGCAAGAAUUUCUGUUGGAAUUAUGGCUUUGACUCUCUUGCUUUUUGUGCUCAAGUCAGUCCUCUCUACGGUGUUCUUUGCUUUGAGAAUUAUCAUUCAUGGUUCAAGAGGCAAUGCAAUACCGUGAGGAGCUAACAAAGGAAAUAGAUGUGCUCAAAGAAAAACUUGAAGAGCAACGAACACGGAAAGAGAAAGAAUUAGCUCUAAUGUAAGCUCAAUUGGAAGCUCAACAAGCCGUUGUGAACUCUUUCACAGCGCGCUUUGACAAUAAAAGAAACUAGACCCUAAAGAUAACAUUGAGUGUCGCGCUUGCACUAGCAUCCAUCUACUCAAACGAGAGUGGUGCAGGAAAAGGUAUGAUACUCAUCGUAAAUGAUACACUACAAAUAAUAUUAUACUAAAAUACGAUGACAUCCACUUUUUAAAAAAAGUAAAGUAGAAUAUAAUUUGUUUACAGAUAAGCCAUGACCAAUAAGCAAAAUAUAACUCACUAACAUUUUUUAGGAAAAAAAAAUAGAAACCAAUUAUCUUUUAAUCAAAACCACCAUAUUAGAGUAUUUUUCAUUUUAUUUUGAAUUUUCGUCAAUUUAUAUGAAAAAUUAUUGUGAAAAAGUUUAUCCAUUUUUUCAUGUUAAAAAUUUGCAAGUUUACCUCUCAAUCUUAUAAUUGGGGUUUCGAAGGUCAGAAUAUAUUUAUUAAAUGUAUAAGUAUAACUUAUAUAUUAAUUAGAGCAAGUAAAUAUCCUUAUUUUGUGUCGUUUAUAUUAUUUAUUUAGAAAUAUAUUCAAUACUGAUAUAAAAGCUAAUUGAUCUAUCAGGACAAAUAUACUAAACUAUUUUUAGAACUACCCCUAAAAAAUUUUUAUUUGAAAUAACGGAAUUAACCAACAAGAUGUAUGUAUGUAUGAAUGAUGUAAUAAUGUAUGUAGAUUAUAGUGACAACACUAAGUCUGCCUUAGAACAACGUGUUUGGAGGUAGAAACCUGUCCACCUUCGAGGUAGGUGCAGUAGCAACCGCCGUGAGCUGCUGAAUGACAAUUUUUUUCCUGCAUUCUUCGACGAAAUCAUACGCUAUUAAAAGCGGUUAAAAAAGUUGUUCUCCCCAUCGGUGAUUUUCAUUUGGUGUAUUUUCUUGUAUUGUUCUCUUAUUUGGAUUCAUUGAAAUUGGUUUAGGAUUGAGUUUAGAAUAUACCUAAUUUAUUAAUGUUAUAUUUUUUUAUAUUAAUAUUAUAUUUAGACAAUUAAUAAAGGUAAUUAAGAUGAUACUGAAAUAUAACUUUAUAAUCUCACUUUCUAAAACUAACAUUUGUUUAUGUAAUCCUUUCACAACAUUUGUUUUACCCUUCUUAGCAUUUUGAAACGUGCUAUAGGCAUAAAAUCAUGUUUAUUUUUUUGGUUGGUAGAAACUCUGGCUUAGCACCACUAUCCUGAUACUAGACAUUUUUAAGUAAAACAAUAUUGUUUGUUUGUUUUAUUUAUUGCUUUUAAUUUAUUUUUUAAACAAGAAUGUUUACAUUGCACAGUUUUGAUCUUAUGUUAUUGUACUAUUUUAGUCCUACCAGAGAGGAUGUUCUCAAGAAUAUAAAAAAUCUGCCAGGAGGAAUUCUUACUUACCCGUCUCACAUACUAAAGAAUUUUUCAUGUUUGAAAUUUUUAGGUUUACCCCUCAAUCUUGCAAUUGGAGUUUCGAAGGUCAUAAAUAUAUUUAUUAAAUAUUUAACUUAUAUGUUAAUUAGGACAAGUAAAUAUCCUUACUUUGUAUCAUUAUGUUAUCUAUUUGAUAAUAUCUUUAAUAUUGAUAUUAAAUCUAAUUAAUCUAUCAGGAAAAAUAUACUAAACUAUUUUUAGAAUCACAAAAAAAAAAUUAUUCGGAGACUGAUAAACCCCAUUUUGAGGGUUUAUCUUGUGCCAAUUUCAGGGGUUUUAUCAAUGAUUCCACAUACCUUUCGCAUGAAAAUACAAGGCUUUGUGUUCCUUUCCUAAUUUUUCCUCAUGAAUGAAAACAUGCUUAUUUUGCACUAAAUUAGAUACAUUUCUAAUCUUCUCUUGGUACCAUUCGAUGCCGUGACCUAUGUGUUAAGUGGUUUCAGGAUAUAGGGCAGGGAUGAAUCGGAAGAGAGAAGGAGAAUGGGCGCAAAGGAAAGGAGCAUGAGAAAUUGAGUUUUGGGAACUUCAACAAGGGCGCGUGCGCGCACUUGGCGCGCCCGCGUGGAUUGCGCCGCUAGAAGUCAAAGCCAAGCCAUGAGCCGGCAUGUGUAGCGGCUGGGCCCUAAUCUCCAUGGGCGCGCACGCGUACGUUGCGCCUCCGCUCGCAUUGCAAGAUAUCCCAGUGGCGCGCACACGUGCUUUGCGCGUGCGCGCCGAUGCUCGAAUAUGAUUUUUUUUAGAAGUCACGUGAUCUGGGUGUGGAGACAGUUGGAGAUCUCAUCUUGGGGAAGUGCCUUGGCGGGAAGGGCUUAAGGAGACCAAGGGUUGAAAGGUUAAGGGACUUUUGGCUCAUUUUUACAUGUUUCUAGAUUUUUCUCUUUGUGGUAGUUACACUCUUGGGUAGAGAGAGAGAUCUCAAGCUCUCAUUAGGGUUCAUCUUCUUCAAUUUUUGAAUUCUCAAUCACUCUUUGGUGAGAUCAAUUUGCAAUUCUCAAUUUACUUUGUUCCUAUUAUAGAUCUUCUUCUCUAAUCUCAAUUAGUACUUGUAAUUGAUCAAUUCUCAUAGAUCUUAGAUUCAACUUUGUGGUUUUGGAAUCUAUCAAUUUUUGAGAAGUUUAUUUCCAUUGUUGUUCUUGGUUAAUUGUUGUUAGUUCCUUGUGUUGAAGCACUUUCAAUUCUACUUUCUUCUCAUUUUUACUAUGCCUUUCAUUCUUGCUCAUCACUUGUUUGAUAAAAUGCCAACAUUAGUUAUGGAGUAAAAGUUCUUUCUUGGCAUAGGGUUUGGACCAUUAGGAAGAGUUAAAUAGUUUAUGUCAAUUGUUGAUUUGGAAUUAGAAAUUGCUAAUUAACUUGGAGUGCACCAAAGCUAGAUUUCCCUAAGGUAAAACUAGGACUUGUGACUCAAGUUAGUUACUCUCAUUUGACUUUCUCCUGUACCUAGGGGUUGACUAAAUGAAGCAAGGCCUAAUUGUUAUCAUCAUUGAAGGAACUAUAGGGAUAAAAUUCCUAAUGCCAACCCUAGGCCAAGCUUUCUAAAGAUUGAUUGUUUGUCACCUAUUUUGCCAAACCUUCAAAGAAUCAUAACAAGACUUCCUAAUCAAUAAGAUGCAUUCUCUAGCAAUUCCAAGGGAGGACGACUUGGGAGACUAGUACUCUCGGUUAUAGAUUGUAGGAUUGUUUGAUGCGAAGUUUAAGUGUCGGUUAGACUAUACUUACGAUCGUAUUCAUCAUUGAAUUCUAAAUCGACAUGCUAAAAUUUCGUUUAUCAGAGACCCCAGGAGCAUUUCACAAUUC